rfam:Nitrospinae bacterium RIFCSPLOWO2_02_39_17 rifcsplowo2_02_sub10_scaffold_3635, whole genome shotgun sequence.
GCGCCCAUAGCUCAGUUGGAUAGAGCAGCGGAAUGCGAGUCCGCAGGUCGGAGGUUCAAAUCCUCUUGGGCGCA